AUUGAACGCUGGCGGCAUGCCUAACACAUGCAAGUCGAACGGCAGCACAGCAGUAGCAAUACUGUGGGUGGCGAGUGGCGGACGGGUGAGGAAUACGUCGGAAUCUGCCCAGUCGUGGGGGAUAACUAGCCGAAAGGUUAGCUAAUACCGCAUACGACCGAGAGGUGAAAGCGGGGGACCGCAAGGCCUCGCGCGAUUGGAUGAGCCGACGUCGGAUUAGCUAGUUGGCGGGUAAAGGCCCACCAAGGCGACGAUCCGUAGCUGGUCUGAGAGGAUGAUCAGCCACACUGGAACUGAGACACGGUCCAGACUCCUACGGGAGGCAGCAGUGGGGAAUAUUGGACAAUGGGCGCAAGCCUGAUCCAGCAAUGCCGCGUGUGUGAAGAAA
rnacentral:rRNA from 1 species